rnacentral:lncRNA from 1 species
UGAAAGCUCAUAGAAUAGGUAGAACAAGAGUUACAGAAAUACAGCAAAUGAGGCCCUAAAAUAUGUACUUCAAGCAAUUGCAGACAGAGAAACUGAGAAAUCUCAGGCCACAGUAUUGGUAGGAGAGAGCUCUGUAGAUGGCCUGGAACAUGGUUGUGUGAGAAUGACUAGGAAAUCAGAAAACGCCACCAGGUCAGAAUGACAAAAGAUGACAAUCUGAACAGACCCAGGAUAGAGGUGUGUUCCUGGCCAUGGAUUUCACUGAUUGUCUAGUAAGGAGUAAUUAUUACUUAAUACAAGAAUAACACUCUAUUAAACAUGUAAUUAUGCUGACUUCAUAAGUAUGCUUAAGUUAUAUUUUUUAGGACUACAUGGAUUUCUGUAGUUUCUGCCUGCCUGUGAUACCUCCCUCUUUCUUCUGGUAACAAACUGGGCUGUCCACUUGGGAAUUGUUGAUUGGUGAGUUGUCAAAUGCAGGGCCCACCACUCUCCUCCUCUGGGUUCACGAUCCAGGCUAGCUUCAUACAAUGGUAUAUGCAAUGAUUAGUUCAGAAUUU